rnacentral:rRNA from 1 species
CGUAGGGUGCGAGCGUUGUCCGGAAUUAUUGGGCGUAAAGAGCUCGUAGGCGGUCUGUCGCGUCGAUCGUGAAAACUUGGGGCUUAACCCUGAGCUUGCGGUCGAUACGGGCAUGACUGGAGUUCGGCAGGGGAGACUGGAAUUCCUGGUGUAGCGGUGAAAUGCGCAGAUAUCAGGAGGAACACCGGUGGCGAAGGCGGGUCUCUGGGCCGAUACUGACGCUGAGGAGCGAAAGCGUGGGAGCGAACAGGAUU